rnacentral:rRNA from 1 species
UACGAAGGACCCAAGCGUUAUCCGGAUUUAUUGGGCUUAAAGGGUGCGUAGGCGGGUUAUUAAGUCAGUGGUGAAAGCCUUCAGCUUAACUGAAGAACUGCCAUUGAUACUGAUGAUCUUGAGUAUGGUUGAGGUGGGCGGAAUGUGUCAUGUAGCGGUGAAAUGCUUAGAUAUGACACAGAACACCGAUUGCGAAGGCAGCUCACUAAGCCAUAACUGACGCUGAUGCACGAAAGCGUGGGGAGCAAACAGG